rnacentral:lncRNA from 1 species
GGGCCUCCGUUGCAGUUUUUUAUUUUCGUUGAAACUCUUUUCCUACUUGAUUUGGACGCGAUAUAAAUACCCAAAAUCAUCAAAUUGAGGAGAGGAACGAGCAGGGAGAAGAAAUACACUCAAUUUGAAGGCAAGAAACACAAUCUUGGGCUUGAUUUCACAAGGAUUCAAGAAGGAAUUGAAGAUUACAAACAAAAUUGAAGGAUUAUCAUACGGGUGUAUUCUUUAUAUCUUUUAAUUUCGUUUUAAUUCUUGAUUCUGUAAUUAUGAUCAUAGGCUAGGGUUUUUAUUCAUUAGGAAAUCGAUGAACCUUUGAUUAUUUAAUCUCCUUUAUUUCAUAAAUUCAACAUAAAGUUUCGGUUGGAC